rnacentral:lncRNA from 2 species
UUGAUUGGAUGGGUUCAUUUGACUCUAGAUGAGACAAUCAGCUUUCUAAAUAACAAUAGCAAGGAAAUUUUACUCACAAAAUACACACCAGUGAGGAAAUACAAUCUAACUGUGAUCCUUCGAAACCUAAAUCUACGGGAAAUAGCACCCUUGAUCUGGGAGCUUAGGCUAGUAAAAUGCAUACAAGAUUAUGGGUUAAAGGGAUGGGGAUCAGCUAGAAGGUGGAUGGGUGGUGGAGUAGGGUUUUUGUACCUCUUGGCGUUCAAGGCGGAGGCGGUGGCAGCAUGCCGAUGCAGGAGUCCGCGACUCAUCAGCGUCGCAGAUCGGCGAGGCAAGGGAUGGAGUCCUGGCGCUUCAUGGACAAUGCAAACAACUUGGAUCUUUGCAUUUCUAAUCGAGCUUAUCACCCCAAAGGCAGCCAUGUCCGGAAUGGGAUCGAGCAAUGCUUUACCUUGUCCGCAGCGGUACAGAAGGCGGCGCAAGAUAGUUGGUGGUGGUGGUGUCGAAGGCGAAGGCGACUCGCGACGCGGUCGGCGGGAGGCGCUCGCUGGAGAGGGGCGCGGGCGUUGGAGGCUUGUCGUGACGCGGUCAGCGGGGAGGGGCGCCGGCGGCAGGGCGUGCGAAGGUGGGGCGUCGGAAUCGACGGCGGCGGCGGCGGCGGUUGGCGUGAGAGGGAUGGCGCGAACAACGCGCGCGGCGCUUGAGACGGCACGACAAGGUUGUGACAGGGAAGAGAGAAGGAGGUGGCGGCGUGCUCUGUAG